rnacentral:rRNA from 1 species
UACGAAGGGGGCUAGCGUUGUUCGGAUUUACUGGGCGUAAAGCGCACGUAGGCGGAUGGUUAAGUCAGGGGUGAAAUCCCGCAGCUCAACUGCGGAACUGCCUUUGAUACUGGCCAUCUCGAGUCCGGAAGAGGUGAGUGGAACUCCUAGUGUAGAGGUGGAAUUCGUAGAUAUUAGGAAGAACACCAGUGGCGAAGGCGGCUCACUGGUCCGGAACUGACGCUGAGGUGCGAAAGCGUGGGGGAGCAAACAGG